rnacentral:rRNA from 1 species
AUUGAACGCUGGCGGCAGGCUUAACACAUGCAAGUCGAGCGAGCGGCGGACGGGUGAGUAAUGUCUGGGAAACUGCCUGAUGGAGGGGGAUAUCUACUGGAAACGGUAGCUAAUACCGCAUACCAUCAGAUGUUCCCAGAUGGGAUUAGCUAGUAGGUGGGGUAAUGGCUCACCUAGGCGACGCUCCCUAGCUGGUCUGAGAGGAUGACAAGCCACACGGGAACUGAGACACAGUCCAGACGCCUACGGGAGGCAGAAGUAGGGAAUAGUGCACAAUGGGCGCAAGCCUGAUGCAGCCAUGCCGCGUGGGUAAAGAAGGCCUUCGGGUUGUAAAGCUCUUUCAGCGAGGAGGCGUUACUCGCAGAAGAAGCACCGGCUAACUCCGGGCCAGCAGCCGCGGUAAUUC